NNNNNNNNNNNNNNNNNNNNNNNNNUCGCCAUGAUCAUCAUCACCAUUGAAGACAUCUCCAAUAAGUGCUGUUUAUUUAUUUAUUUUUAAACGCAGUAGCAUUUACAACUAAUUGAUCACAAGCAGUUACAGAUCUCUUUGUUCCUUCUCCACUUCCACUGCUUCACUCGACAUGCCUAAAAAUAAAAAAAUAAAUAAAUAAACAGCACUUAUAAUUCUACCACCGAAUAACUAUUUUUGAAUUUGAACAUUUAUUACCCUCUCAUUUACUGUCCUUUUUAAAGCCUUGGAGAAACACAGCCAUAGGGUCUUUUAGCCAGAAACCUAACCCAGCUUCUUCCUUUGACUAAUGAAGAGACUGACAUUCAAAGGGUUAUGUGAUAGGAUUUUACGUGGAGCAAGCAGAGGUGAUGCCCCUCGCAGGGUUUCCCCGAGGAGCCUCUCCCUGAUCCUCAAACUCACCAGACACAGUCCAAUCUCAUGGAGAACUUUGUUCAUAGGCAAACCAUUCUUUAUCCAGAUGAAAUUUUGGUUAUUUAUUAAAGACUGUUCUAUUGAACAGAAAUUAAACUUUGAUCAGUGAAUUAAGUUCAUUAGGAAAAUCAUGAACAAGUUAAUCACUAAAAAUAGAUGGAAAUUUCCUUAACCUCUAGUUUUUAUCAAAAACCAAUAGCAAAUAUAAAAUUUAAUAGUAAAGCAUUCACCACAUUCCCACUGAGUCCAGAACAAAACAAGAGCUAUGAAGCUAUCACUCACUUUUAUUCAGUAAGUCCUACCAAUCAAAUAGAACAAAGAAAAGAAGUAAGUGUUAUUAAGAUUAAAAAGCAAGAGACAAGCC
rnacentral:lncRNA from 1 species